rnacentral:rRNA from 1 species
UCUGACGGAGCAACGCCGCGUGCGUGAUGACGGCCCUCUGGUUUGAAAGCUGUGUUGAUGGGGACGAAUGUGCCGUGUUUGAAUAUUGUUUGGAAGUGACGGUACCUGACGAAGAAGCCACGGCUAACUACGUGCCAGCAGCCGCGGUAAUACGUAGGUGGCAAGCGUUGUCCGGAAUUAUUGGGCGUAAAGGGAGCGCAGGCGGGAAUGUAAGUCGGUCUUAAAAGUGCGGGGCUCAACCCCGUGAUGGGAUCUAAACUAUCUUUCUUGAGUGCAUGAAAGGAAAUGGAAUUCCUCCUGUGGCGGUCCAAUGCGUAAAUAUAAAGAGGAGCACUGGGGGGACCGUUUAUAUUCGCGCCUGUGGGAGGAUA